rnacentral:SRP_RNA from 1 species
GCCAGGCAUGGUGGUGCAUGCCUGUAAUCCCAGCUACUUGGGAGGCUGAGGCAGGAGAAUCACUUGAACCUGGGAGGCGGAGGUUGCAGUGAGCCAAGAUCACACCACUGCACUCCAGCCUGGGUGACAGAGUGAGACCCUGUCUCAA